GGCGUAGCCAAGUGGUAAGGCAACAGACUUUGACUCUGUCAUUCGCAGGUUCGAUCCCUGCCGC
rnacentral:tRNA from 1 species